ensembl:lncRNA
GUGAGGGCUAAUGUAGUGGUGAGGGCUAUGGUAGUGGUGAGGGCUAUGGUAGUGGUGAGGACUAUGGUAGUGGUGAGGACUAUGGUAGUGGUGAGGACUAUGGUAGUGGUGAGGACUAUGGUAGUGGUGAGGACUAAUGUAGUGGUGAGGACUAUGGUAGUGGUGAGGGCUAAUGUAGUGGUGUGGGCUAUGGUAGUGGUGAGGGCUAAUGUAGUGGUGAGGACUAAUGUAGUGGUGAGGGCUAUUGUGGUGGUGAGGGCUAUGAUGGUAGUGGUGAGGGCUAUGGUAGUGGUGAGGGCUAUGAUGGUAGUGGUGAGGGCUAUGGUAGUGGUGAGGGCUAAUGUAGUGGUGAGGACUAAUGUAGUGGUGUGGGCUAUGGUAGUGGUGAGGACUAAUGUAGUGGUGAGGGCUAUGGUGGUGGUGAGGGCUAUGAUGGUAGUGGUGAGGGCUAUGGUAGUGGUGAGGACUAUGGGCUAUGGUAGUGGUGAGGGCUAUGGUAGUGGUGAGGGCUAUGGUAGUGGUGAGGACUAUGGUAGUUGGUAG